CUCUCUCUCCGUGCUGACCUGACGACCCGUGGGCUCUCCCACCUGCAGCAUCUCUUCUUCAUCUCCGGCUCCUCUCCCCCGAUCUCUCGCCCGCGACCUGCUCCGAUACCCUGCGAAGUACGGACUCCGGCGAGCUUACGGGGCUCGCGCGGCGAGCUCGCGGCCGCGAUGGACGAGGCGGGCACCUCGUCGUCCGCAGGCUCCGCCCCGCGCGGAGGGCGCCCGGCGAGAUCGGGAGUAUUCUAUAAGUUCACCCAGCAGGAUCUUCCAGCUUGGAAACCGGCAAUGACACCAGGAUACGUGAUAGCCAUUUUCUUGAUAAUUGGGAUUAUUUUUGUACCGCUUGGACUAAUUUGUCUUCAAGCUUCAAACAGAGUUGCAGAAAUCGUUCACCGUUAUGAUAUUGAUUGUGUACCUAAUGCUUACAGAAGCAAUAAGCAGGCCUAUAUCAAAGACAGCUCGAUUUCGAAGGAAUGCAUUCAGAAAGUGAAGGUACAAUACCACAUGAAAGCUCCAAUUUAUGUGUAUUAUGAACUCGACAACUUCUACCAGAAUCAUCGUAGGUAUAUCAAAAGUAGAAGCGACAAGCAACUACGCUAUGGGCUGAAAUACACUGAUAGCUCAUGCAGUCCAAUAGAAAAGAGCGACGGCCUUCCAAUUGUUCCCUGUGGAUUGAUUGCCUGGAGCUUGUUCAAUGAUACUUAUGAUUUUACCCGUGGAUCCAUGGGAAUAGUGGUUGAUCGGAAAAAUAUUUCAUGGAGAAGUGAUCGGGAGCAUAAGUAUGGCAAGGAUGUCUAUCCUUUCAACUUUCAGAAUGGAUCUUUGAUUGGAGGAGGAAAACUUGACCCUGAUAUACCACUAAGCAAUCAGGAAGAUCUUAUCGUGUGGAUGCGCGCAGCUGCUCUUCCCCAGUUUCGAAAGCUGUAUGGUGUCAUCGAAGAGGAUAUACAAGCUGAUGAAAUCAUUACCAUGCACAUAACAAACAAUUACAAUACCUACAGCUUUGGUGGAAAGAAAAGCCUGGUUCUUACAACAUCAACCUGGCUAGGUGGCAAGAAUGACUUUCUUGGAUAUGCAUAUCUUAUCACUGGUUCCUUGAGCAUUUUCUUGUCGAUUCUCUUUGCUCUGAUCCAUGUGAAAAUCCCAAGGUAAUCGAUAAGGCCACAUGGUGAUGCUGCUUACCUAUCUUGGAGCAGGAAAAACGGCAAUAACUAAGCUUCUGUGCAUAGUUUUUUCUUUGUGUAAGCUAGCAGUACAGCACCCUGGCCAGAGGUUUCCCCGCGGCGUUCCGUCUGCGCACCCUGUCUCGAGGGAAAUGGCAUAGUAGCAGCUUCAGGUUUCAUACACUCGACACUUGGACGGAGCAUGAAAUGCGUAGCAGCUUCAGAUUUCAUACACAUACUUGGAGCAUGAAACGCUUGAUGACUGCUGAGGAUAUACGGUAAGGCCAUGGUUCACCGACAUGUUCGUGCAAUUCAGGCCAGCGCUCUGACGGCGCCCUCGAGGAAAACUAGAGCCGUGUAAAAACUGAUAUAUGUGUAUGUAAAGCGCCAUACCAUGGAUUCCAUGAUGUUGUAUGAAUGAAUACAUAUAAUGUUUCAGUUU